GCGCUGAGCGAAGGCUGAGCUCGGUAUCCCUUCGGGGUGAAGCUCGUGGAACGAGCGGCGGACGGGUGAGUAACACGUGGGCAACCUGCCUGUAAGACCGGAAUAACCCCGGGAAACCGGGGCUAAUGCCGGGUAAUACUUUUCUUCGCAUGAAGGAAAGUUGAAAGAUGGCUUCUUGCUAUCACUUACAGAUGGGCCCGCGGCGCAUUAGCUAGUUGGUGAGGUAACGGCUCACCAAGGCGACGAUGCGUAGCCGACCUGAGAGGGUGAUCGGCCACACUGGGACUGAGACACGGCCCAGACUCCUACGGGAGGCAGCAGUAGGGAAUCUUCCGCAAUGGACGAAAGUCUGACGGAGCAACGCCGCGUGAACGAUGAAGGUCUUCGGAUCGUAAAGUUCUGUUGUUAGGGAAGAACAAGUACCGUGCGAAUAGAGCGGUACCUUGACGGUACCUAACGAGGAAGCCCCGGCUAACUACGUGCCAGCACCGCGGUAAUACGUAGGGGGCAAGCGUUGUCCGGAAUUAUUGGGCGUAAAGCGCGGCAGGCGGUUCCUUAAGUCUGAUGUGAAAGCCCACGGCUCAACCGUGGAGGGUCAUUGGAAACUGGGGAACUUGAGGACAGAAGAGGAGAGUGGAAUUCCACGUGUAGCGGUGAAAUGCGUAGAUAUGUGGAGGAACACCAGUGGCGAAGGCGAC
rnacentral:rRNA from 1 species